GAAAUGUCCCUCACGUGGUACCGUGGGUUUAAGCCCCUCCCACUUCCCGGUUCACCAAUUAGUCUGGGUAUAAGGCUCCAUUUGUACAACACUACAGGAGCAUGCUGUUUUCCUGUGUUGGAGUCUGGUUUUGACAACCCGUUUUGAGCUGACCCAGUGCAGUGCCUCAAGGAGGCCCAAACCAGGUGGGAGCCGGCCCAGGUGGAGAGAAUGCAGCCCAGGCCGUGAAGCACUGCUGUUUUGCUUGGAGUGCGUGGGGCUGGCAGCGGCGUGGCUACCCGGAUGGUGGUGGGGCUGGUUGGACUGGGCCUCUCACUUUCUCCUCCCCUUUUUCUUAGUUGCAUGUUUUUGGUUUUUGAUUUACAUUGUUUUGCGUGAGUGUGGAUGUGGCACUGGGGGGAGUGAGGGCAUUGUCCUAGAGCUUGUCCCCCCUCUUUUCCCCUUCUUAGCCCGCUGCAGCCUACGGCCCCAAUAGAAUUGAAUUUGUUUAUGAAAACCUUUCUUUGACAUUCCCAGAGCUGAAGGGAAUUAUUGAAAUUAAUUGUUACCUUUUUGAUAUUUUAAGAAACUCCAAUAAAUAUUGUACUCUGGGGGAA
ensembl:lncRNA